rnacentral:sRNA from 1 species
UAAGGGUGGGUUCAUAGGACUGUGACUCUGAGAGCUCUGGACCAGAAUACCCUAGCCUUCAACAUGACGAAAGUAACCAAGAAAUCACACAAUACUACACCAGAUGUCGAACCAUCAACUACAAGUGCGAAAUCCAAGAAAACUAAGACUUGCCAUCAAUCCAAAAUCAGAACUAGAAGCAAGAAGAGGCCUCAGCCUGGUUCCAAAUGUACUAGGAAGGUGCAGAAGACAACCAAGAAGGUCAAGAAAACCCUGCCAAGAAUCCCCAAAAAUAAGGCUUUGGAGCAUACCGUACCACCUACAAAAAAGACAAAAAAGGCCAAGGGUUCCAUUUGAACACUGAAGGGUGAAGAAAGUGGAAAGUGAGUGCAGAAGCUAUACUAGAAAAAUGAAAAAGCAUAUUAG